rnacentral:lncRNA from 1 species
UCCAAUUCAUUUUCACUUCUAAAUCAAUCACCCUCCUUUAAAUCCAUACAUAUAUUAUUCCUUAUCCAAUUAGGCAGCGAACUCCUGAAUUCAAGAUAGAAUCAGAGAAAGAAAAAAGAACUAGAAUCCAACGGUCAGAAAAACAUAACAUCAUGAAUUUAAUAUUACACUGAAAAACAACUAGAAUCCAACGGUCAGAAAAACAUAACUUCAUGAAUUUAAUAUUACACUGAAAAACAACUAGAAUCCACAAUUAAAAAAAAAAGAUUAAAGAUAUAGAAGAGAGCAAGCAAGUCCAUAUUCCACCAGUAACAAAAGCAUUGUAAGAUAUAGCUUGAUUAAAAAAAAAAAAACUAAUCAUGGCAAUCAAGAAACCAUUGCCUAUAAAGGAAAUAAGCAAAAUAAAGGUCUGCUCACCAUGACUCUCAAUGGCGGACUAAAACAAUACAACUACAAUUUUCAAAAUAAAAAGAAAAAGCCAAACUCGGGAGUCACAAUAAAAUAAACUAAUGAAAAGUUCGAUAGCAUAAAAGAAAGUUGUUUCCCUUCCUUCCUAAUAACAUCUUAUCUAUAUAAUAAAGCAUAAAUUAGACAGCAAAAUUGUAGAAUUAAAACAAAUAAAAAUAAUAAAACAUAAGUUAGACAACAUAAUUCUAGAAUUUUAAAAAUAAUAAGAAAUGAGGGGAUUAAAGUACAGUUAUUUGACUUAUAUUUCUGGGAAUAUGUCAAAAAGUAGUUUAUCAAAAGAAAAAAAUGACUAAGAUGUGUGACAAUUUGUCAAUAAUAUUGUAUAUAGCAAUGAGGUUGGCAAGCAUGGAUGAACUAGAUCAAUUCUCAAGUUAAGCUCGUACGACACGUUCAGAACAUUUCUAUGGAAUUUAUUCCAACAUUUAAAAAUUAGUUUUUAAUUGAAUAAAUAAAGGGUGCGUCUAGUACAGAGCAAAGGCUCUAAACAAUUAAAUUAGAGCCUAGCUUCAAAUAGUGUCAAGAAACGUAGUUUCAAUAUUGGAAACAUUUGUAAUAGCUUUAAAAUAUAUUUCAAUUUUUAAUUAUAAAAUUUAAAAUUUAAAAUAUAGUAUAGAUCAAGCAGAUCUAUGAAAACUUGAAAAUCUAAAAAAUUGAUUGUCUAAAAAUGCAUUACAAGAUGCACUAUUUUUAAAACUUGAAAUCUAUUUUUUUCUCAUGUCUAUGCUUCUUGAUGUAGAGAUGAUCAAUUUGAAGAUAUUUGAGCAUCAAAACAACCUCUUCUAGUGAGAUUUUUGCGGUAGGUUCUAAUUUGAUUGUUUAAAGCCUUGGCUCUAUAUAAACUUUCCCUAUUCAUUUAUCAAAUUCACUUUAGACAAAAAUCAAAAAUGUUUUUAAGAGAUAAUAGUAUGUUUUCAUUGAAAAACGCAAAAAAAUAAUAGUCUAUAUGGUACAUAGUUUAUUAGUACCAUAGCAAACCCAUUUAUUAAUUGAAAAUGAAAAAAAUGGGUUGACUUCUUUAAAAUAUUCCAAAGCAAUUGGCCUACAAAGUUAUUUUAAAAGGUACAAAAUUAAUAUAUACAUAAGUUAUUUUAAAAGGUCCAAAACUACUAGAUAAAUUAUAGAUAUUUCAAAUUUGAAAACUUCAAUACCUCACUCUGGCUUUCCGGAAUAGAUUAUUUUAUGAUGGCGAAAUAAUAAUUAAGAUCAUAUCUCCUCCAAUCCUCCAAGGCCUUUAUGAGUGUAAUGAAUGGUUUCAAAAAAAACUAACAACUAAAUGCAAAAGUUUCAUAUUCCCUAAACCAUGAACUAUGAAUUAGAAGUACUGCUUUCUUUGAUGUUUGUUACAUUUGAUUUAAA